GGAGAGAGAUGGAAAAUCAGGCAUCUAUGUACAGUAGUUUACUAUAAUUUGCCCAAGAAGAUGUGGCAAGGGCUGUUUAAGGUGAGAAUACCAGUUGUUCACAAACAGAAAACAUACUGAGUUUUUCCUUUUAAAGAAUCUGAGUAAUGUGGCUUUUCAAGGGAGCAGAAAUCUAAAGCGUUUUUUGUUCUAAGAAAAAAGCCUGUGAUCAGUCUUUCACUUUUGAGUAUUUCCCCACACCUCUGCUAUCACUUGUUAACUAUUCACUAACUUCACACUAAAGGAAGAAUGCUACCAAAAUUCUGUUUAAACUUGGAUGGAAGAGGGAAUUGCUCUUUGUGAAUUAAUGUACAAUUACAAAGUUGAACAAUGCUAAACCCCUUCAUUUUUGGCCUAUUUCAGUUCACUUACCAUCACUUAAUUCACCUUCACCUCAAAAGUUUGUGGUCCUUACAAACUGAAAAUAAAUAGUUCUGUCCUCCAAUUACUCUCUGUAUAGAGGAUGUAUGUGGUAAUUUUACUUUCACAGAUGAAACACCCAACUUUAAAACCAGCAUUUAUUUUGUGGUUGGGGACAUCCUACAAUGGCUACUGCAGUCUUAGCAUCUAACCAGAAGAGGGAGCUCCAGAACAGGCUGCUGGCAGCUGCUGCUUGAAUUGGAAGAUGAGCUUCUAAACAUUUGGAAGUGUCAGAGGACUUCCUCAGUCUGAGGAAUGAAUUUGAGGUUCCCGGUGCAAGUGACGACGUCACUUUUGUGCACACUACUUUCAUGUACAUGUACAUUUAAUGCCAUAAUUUCAAGAGGACCCAGAGCAGCUUGGUUUCAUUCAGCAUUUUUGUUCUUGCUGUCAGAGUACCUACAUUAAAAAAAAAAAAAAAAAAUCUUCAGCACAGUUGGUUUGUUGAUUUCAUCAUUUGGAAAAUUACCAUAUCAGGUUAAAAUUUAGCUUAAACUCCUUUUCCUUUCUUCUUCACUCCUCCAAUAGAAUAAUAUUGAAUUCCUAAGUGCAGCCCAGUGCACUGUCCGUAUUAAUAUUCCUUUGUAUAACUGUUUCUUGGGGAGAUGGCUAGGCAAUAAUCUCUUAGGAGUUUGCAAAUGCCUUUCCUGUGAAUUGCCUCGAAUGCUCCAUUUUUUUCAACUUAUUUCCAUGUUAAUGUUCUCCUGAAGUUCAGUUAAAUUGAUUGAGCUAUAAAAAGCCAUCAAACCAGCAGCAGAACUCUUUUGAGGAAGGAUUUUUCAAAAUCUUAAAUGGGUGAAAUAAUGGUAUUUUUAAUGCACUGGAAUUGGAGAAUUUUCAUUAAUUCAUAUAUUAAGUGAUCUAUCUUUCAACUGAUAACUGGUAUAGCAAAUCAUGGUAAAGAGUGUUCAGGUGAAUACAGUAUGAAGAUCUAAAUUCUUUUACAUAGCAGCAGUGGUAGAGUAGAAUCUUCCCAGGAACCUGAAACUCCUGUGUGCUUAAAACUGGUUCUUGUACCAUUUAAAAGAAACAAAACAAAAAACCUGCCUUUUAAAUGAAAAAGGGUCUGAGACGCAUUGAAAUGUCAUAUUGAAUACUAGGCUUUCUAUGGAAGUUCUGGGAAACAGUUUCCUCUAGCAGCUCAUACUAUGUGUGAUGAAACUUUGAUAGCCAUAUCUUCUGUUCUUAGAUGAAAUUUUUUUUAAAAAGGAUUUGAUCAUUUAAAUAUACUAGAUUUUAAAUGUACUUGUUAUGUAUAGGGUUGAAUACAGAAGUACCAAAAUCCAUCAUGUACUAAUUUUGGCUGGGUAAAUAUUUUACAAUUGCUUGGUUGUUUUUCCAAAGAGAUACUCAAAACAAAAUAUUCAAACAUUUGC